UUGCUUUGGUAGCAUGCCUACUAAAGUUGGAACGAUACAAAGAUGAUUAGCAUGGCCUCUGUGCAAAAAGGACAUGCAAAUUCAUGAACUAUUUCACUUUUUU